AGAGUUUGAUCCUGGCUCAGAAUCAACGCUGGCGGCGUGCCUAACACAUGCAAGUCGAACGCGAAAGUGGAGCAAUCCAUGAGUAGAGUGGCAAACGGGUGAGUAACGCGUGGGCGACCUACCUCAGAGUGGGGGAUAACCUUCCGAAAGGAGGGCUAAUACCGCAUGACAUACCGUGUUUGGAUACACGGAUAUCAAAGCCGGGGAUCGCAAGACCUGGCGCUUGGAGAGGGGCCCGCGUCCGAUUAGCUAGUUGGUGAGGUAACGGCUCACCAAGGCUCCGAUCGGUAUCCGGCCUGAGAGGGCGGACGGACACACUGGAACUGAGACACGGUCCAGACUCCUACGGGAGGCAGCAGUGGGGAAUUGUUCGCAAUGGGCGCAAGCCUGACGACGCAACGCCGCGUGGAGGAUGAAGACUUUCGGGUCGUAAACUCCUUUCGACCGAGAUGAAUUUCCCACGACCUAACACGUCGUGGGAGUGACAGUAUCGAGGGAAGAAGCCCCGGCUAACUCCGUGCCAGCAGCCGCGGUAAUUC
rnacentral:rRNA from 1 species